rnacentral:lncRNA from 10 species
CUUCACCCUAACAACCUCCACCUGGGGAUCUUCAUUCAACCCAGACUUGGGCCUGGACCUUUCCCUUUAUGUCCCGUGUUCCACAGCCUGGGGCCUCAGAUGUUUCUCAUAGACAAGGAAGGACUCUCCAGGUUGGCGACUCCUGGAUUCCCUAGCUUGGAAGAUACAUUCAGGUGUGCCUGCCACACAGGGCCAUUCUCAGGCUGUGCUUAAGUUCCUGCGGUCAGGUGCGGUUACCAUACACUCCUAGGUGUUCAGGCCAACAGCUGGUGCCCCGAAACUGGUCAGGAGAGAAGGGACAGGCCACCGUGAGGCUGUUUGUUGUGUUCCUAAGGAAGAGAAGAGCCCUCCAGCUGCCCUGGAUUAUUGUCCGGGUGUGACUCAAAUAAUGAUCAUGCCUGUUGACACUUGGAGCUCUCAAAGGGAAUUCUGAGCAGCAAAGGAAAGGUGACACAGAACUCAAGGGCACUGGCGCUGAGCGCUGCCCAUGCAGCUGGCAAUUAAGCCAUUGCCGAAAACAACAAUAAAACAGAUUUUGGGCAAGUAGGGAAUGGUGGAUUGAAUCCAGUGUGGCAAAA